UGACCUUGACAUCGGUGGCGAUCAAGACGAAAGCCCGGCACCGGAUGACAACGAUGGCGAUGUUACUAAUGCUACCACUGAUAGCGGCAAUUCAGAUGAAAACAAGGUAGAUGGUGGUGGUCAAAACCAAGACCCGGCUAAGGAGGACGAUGAUGACGCCACCGUGUCCACUAAGAAAUACUUCAGCCCCCAAGGCUCCUACUUUCCCGACCAUUUUAUAGAUGAUGCGCGAAAAUAAAUAAAAAUAUUUUGUUUUAUUUUA